AGCUUGCUAGAUUGAUGGCGAGUGGCGAACGGGUGAGUAAUACAUCGGAACGUGCCCUGUAGUGGGGGAUAACUAGUCGAAAGAUUAGCUAAUACCGCAUACGACCUGAGGGUGAAAGUGGGGGACCGCAAGGCCUCAUGCUAUAGGAGCGGCCGAUGUCUGAUUAGCUAGUUGGUGAGGUAAAGGCUCACCAAGGCGACGAUCAGUAGCUGGUCUGAGAGGACGAUCAGCCACACUGGGACUGAGACACGGCCCAGACUCCUACGGGAGGCAGCAGUGGGGAAUUUUGGACAAUGGGCGAAAGCCUGAUCCAGCAAUGCCGCGUGUGUGAAGAAGGCCUUCGGGUUGUAAAGCACUUUUGUCCGGAAAGAAAUGGCUCUGGUUAAUACCUGGGGUCGAUGACGGUACCGGAAGAAUAAGGACCGGCUAACUACGUGCCAGCAGCCGCGGUAAUACGUAGGGUCCAAGCGUUAAUCGGAAUUACUGGGCGUAAAGCGUGCGCAGGCGGUUGUGCAAGACCGAUGUGAAAUCCCCGAGCUUAACUUGGGAAUUGCAUUGGUGACUGCACGGCUAGAGUGUGUCAGAGGGGGGUAGAAUUCCACGUGUAGCAGUGAAAUGCGUAGAGAUGUGGAGGAAUACCGAUGGCGAAGGCAGCCCCCUGGGAUAACACUGACGCUCAUGCACGAAAGCGUGGGGAGCAAACAGGAUUAGAUACCCUGGUAGUCCACGCCCUAAACGAUGUCAACUAGUUGUUGGGGAUUCAUUUCCUUAGUAACGUAGCUAACGCGUGAAGUUGACCGCCUGGGGAGUACGGUCGCAAGAUUAAAACUCAAAGGAAUUGACGGGGACCCGCACAAGCGGUGGAUGAUGUGGAUUAAUUCGAUGCAACGCGAAAAACCUUACCUACCCUUGACAUGCCACUAACGAAGCAGAGAUGCAUUAGGUGCUCGAAAGAGAAAGUGGACACAGGUGCUGCAUGGCUGUCGUCCGCUCGUGUCGUGAGAUGUUGGGUUAAGUCCCGCAACGAGCGCAACCCUUGUCUCUAGUUGCUACGAAAGGGCACUCUAGAGAGACUGCCGGUGACAAACCGGAGGAAGGUGGGGAUGACGUCAAGUCCUCAUGGCCCUUAUGGGUAGGGCUUCACACGUCAUACAAUGGUGCAUACAGAGGGUUGCCAAGCCGCGAGGUGGAGCUAAUCCCAGAAAAUGCAUCGUAGUCCGGAUCGUAGUCUGCAACUCGACUACGGAAGCU
rnacentral:rRNA from 1 species